AGAGUUGAUCAUGGCUCAGGAUGAACGCUGGCGGUGUGCCUAAUACAUGCAAGUCGAUCGGGCGUAGCAAUACGUCAGAGGCGUACGGGUGAGUAACACGUAGGUAACCUACCUUUAAGACUGGGAUACCCAGACGAAAGUUUGGCUAAUACCGGAUAACAACAUUUGAGACAUCUCUUUUGUUUGAAAGGCGCUGCAAGGCGCCACUUUUAGAUGGACCUGCGUCGCAUUAGCUAGUUGGUGAGAUAAAAGCCCACCAAGGCUGGGAUGCGUAGCCGAUCUGAGAGGAUGACCGGCCACAAUGGGACUGAGACACGGCCCAUACUCCUACGGGAGGCAGCAGUAGGGAGUUUUCGGCAAUGGGGGAAACCCUGACCGAGCAACACCGCGUGAGUGAUGAAGGUCCUUCGGAUCGUAAAGCUCUGUUACGAGGGGCGAAUGAUCGCUUUAGGAAAUGAGAGCGAUUUGACGGUACCUCGCCAGAAAGCGACGGCUAACUACGUGCCAGCAGCUGC
rnacentral:rRNA from 1 species